UACGUAGGGUCCGAGCGUUGUCCGGAAUUAUUGGGCGUAAAGGGCUCGUAGGCGGUUUGUCACGUCGGGCGUGAAAACUCAGGGCUCAACCCUGAGCGUGCGUUCGAUACGGGCAGACUAGAGGUAUGCAGGGGAGGACGGAAUUCCUGGUGUAGCGGUGGAAUGCGCAGAUAUCAGGAGGAACACCGGUGGCGAAGGCGGUUCUCUGGGCAUUACCUGACGCUGAGGAGCGAAAGCAUGGGGAGCGAACAGG
rnacentral:rRNA from 1 species